GCCCAGGUGGUGGAAUGGUAGACACGUACGUUUCAGGUGCGUAUGCUGCGAGGCAUGCAGGUUCGAGUCCUGUUCUGGGCA
rnacentral:tRNA from 2 species